rnacentral:rRNA from 1 species
UACGUAGGGGGGCAAGCGUUUGUCCGGAAUCAUUGGGCGUAAAGAGCGUGUAGGCGGCCCGGUAAGUCCGCUGUGAAAGUCCAGGGCUCAACCCUGGAAUGCCGGUGGAAACUGUCGGGCUAGAGUCCGGAAGAGGAGAGUGGAAUUCCUGGUGUAGCGGUGAAAUGCGCAGAUAUCAGGAGGAACACCGAUGGCGAAGGCAGGUCUCUGGGCAUUAACUGACGUGAGGAGCGAAAAGCAUGGGGGAGCGAACAGGA